rnacentral:rRNA from 1 species
UACUCCUACGGGAGGCAGCAGUGGGGAAUCUUGCGCAAUGGGCGAAAGCCUGACGCAGCCAUGCCGCGUGAAUGAUGAAGGUCUUAGGAUUGUAAAAUUCUUUCACCGGGGACGAUAAUGACGGUACCCGGAGA